GACGAACGCUGGCGGCGUGCUUAACACAUGCAAGUCGAGCGGUAAGGCCCUUUCGGGGGUACACGAGCGGCGAACGGGUGAGUAACACGUGGGUGACCUGCCCUCAGCUCUGGGAUAAGCCCGGGAAACCGGGUCUAAUACCGGAUAUGACUCCAUGACGCAUGUUGUGGGGUGGAAAGCCUUGUGCGGCUGAGGAUGGGCCCGCGGCCUAUCAGCUUGUUGGUGGGGUGAUGGCCUACCAAGGCGACGACGGGCAGCCGGCCUGAGAGGGCGACCGGCCACACUGGGACUGAGACACGGCCCAGACUCCUACGGGAGGCAGCAGUGGGGAAUCUUGCGCAAUGGGCGAAAGCCUGACGCAGCGACGCCGCGUGAGGGAUGACGG
rnacentral:rRNA from 1 species